rnacentral:rRNA from 1 species
GACGAACGCUGGCGGCGUGCUUAACACAUGCAAGUCGAACGAUGAAGCGGGUGCUUGCACUCGUGGAUUAGUGGCGAACGGGCGAGUAACACGUGAGUAACCUGUCCUUUUCUUUGGGAUAACGGCUGGAAACGGCUGCUAAUACUGGAUAUUCAGGCUGCAUCGCAUGGUGUGGUUUGGAAAGGUUUUUUCUGGGAUUGGGUGGGCUCGCGGCCUAUCAGCUUGUUGGUGGGGUGAUGGCUUACCAAGGCUUUGACGGGUAGCCGGCCUGAGAGGGUGGGCGGUCGCACUGGGACUGAGAUACGGCCCAGACUCCUACGGGAGGCAGCAGUGGGGAAUAUUGCACAAUGGACGAAAGUGUGAUGCAGCGACGCCGCGUGGAGGGUGUAGGCCUUCGGGUUGUGAACUCCUUUUUCUCGCGAAAAAGGCACAGUUUUGGCUGUGUUGAUGGUAGUGGGGGAAGAAGCGCCGGCUAACUACGUG